GGAAUGCUGUAAAACAUAUUAUUACCUCGCAACGUUUUGGAAAUGAAACAAAAUGUGUGAAACUAACAGUAUAACCAAUCGUAAUGUGCCAUCACGUGUCGAUCCCAUCAACAUCGAUACCUUGCUUCCAUCCUACAUAGAUUUAUCUACGUUUUAGUUGUACUAAAGUCUCAGAACGUUCACCUACUUUCGGAAGGCGCCUGGAAUGAGGAUCACGUGACACUUGCAUGCGCGAAAAGGUGUGCAGAACCGUAUCAUGUUCGAAAUAAACCAAUUGCCUGAACCUACAUAGAAUAUUUAAGUAUUCCGAAAAUUGCGACGGCGAGAAAAUAG